GUUGCUUCCUAACGGCAAACUCCCUCUAAUCAUAGAUGAGGGAUUAUUCAAGUUUCCGAAGCAUAAAUCGAACAAUUUCAAUCAAUUUUAAAUAACGUCAAUGCAUCAGCGCUCCGUAUCUGCUGAUAUAUUA
rnacentral:snoRNA from 1 species